CCUACGGGAGGCAGCAGUGAGGAAUAUUGGUCAAUGGACGAGAGUCUGAACCAGCCAAGUAUCGUGAAGGAUGACUGCCCUAUGGGUUGUAAACUUCUUUUAUAUGGGAAUAAAAUGUUCCACGUGUGGGACUUUGUAUGUACCAUAUGAAUAAGGAUCGGCUAACUCCGUGCCAGCAGCCGCGGUAAUACGGGGGAUCCGAGCGUUAUCCGGAUUUAUUGGGGUUAAAGGGAGCGUAGGUGGGUUGUUAAGCCAGUUGUGAAAGUUUGCGGCUCAACCGUAACAUUGCAGUUGAAACUGGCAGUCUUGAGUACAGUAGAGGUAGGCGGAAUUCGUGGUGUAGCGGUGAAAUGCUUAGAUAUCACGAAGAACUCCGAUUGCGAAGGCAGUUCACUGGACUGCAACUGACACUGAGGCUCGAAAGUGUGGGUAUCAAACAGGAUUAGAUACCCUGGUAGUC
rnacentral:rRNA from 1 species